CUCCGCAGGGGCAGAGGGGGAGGGGACGAAGCCGCCCGCCGCCAUUUUGCUUGUGGGCUGCCGCCCGCCGUUGCCUCUCCGCCGAGGCGCAAAGGCAGUAGUAGCGAACUGGAGGCGGUGAGGUGGGCAGGAUCUCCGUCUUUUUCACGACAGAGCCAUUCGACAAUUCACGGAAGGUCUGGGGAAGUUUCGGUAUCGGGUGGGAUGGAGGCUUUACAACCCUGGUCCGCUCCAGGUUGGAUCUAGGGGGAGCCUGGGCAGGCAGCAACUGGGGGGAAGUUGGAUGGCAGCCGGGCCUGGGAACGACCCCGUCCCGACACUCCCCGAAAGCGCUGCGCUAUCUCCCACCCCCAAAACCACCUCAGUCCCGGGCUCCCCCUACUCCCUCCCCCCAGGCUGGCCUCCAGCGCAGGGUGAACCCGGCUGGGAUGUCACUCGACGCCCACUAGGGGCUGAGGAGGCUCCAGUGCGCAGGCUCAGGGCGCCGGAUAAAAGCGGAGCUGGCGAGUCCAGUGCCGUCUCGAUGGAGGAGCACGAAACGGAAGAGGUCGGGGGGAGAAGCAGCAGGAAAAGUGCAGCCACCGUCGGCGCCGCCUCCCUGCCACAGUGUAUCGGGGUAAAACGCUGCCGUUGCCGUCGCUGCCUCCUAGACUUCUCUUGGCCCCGGGGAAGGAUUUCCCCCGCCUGCGGGACAAUGUGUGUGUGGGGGGGUGGGACGGGGACUGGGAAUUCCUUUAUGUGGCGGUGAUUCAACGAGGGAGGGACAAGGAGACGGUUAUCUGGAAGAAGAACUGUCGGGGGAGGCCAAAGAAUAAAGGGUUUCCCUCACUAAAAUGACACGGCGAUUCCGGCUCUUGUUGUCGGGGUCUUUCCCCGAAAUGGCGGUUUCCGUCUUCUUGCCCCACGGCGACCCGGAGCGCCUGGUAAGCGGAGUGGGGAGAGGCAGAGGCGGUCUCGGCAGCCAAUCGGUGCCUGAUGUGGUCUGUCGGGCGCGUCGUGAUUGGCUAGCGAUGACCUCAUGCUGCAGCAGCGGGUGGGGCCAAAGCCGUCGGGGGAGGCUGUUGCAAAGGCAGAAAGGGAGAAGUGACGAUGGUGAUCCUUGCUGCCGCGGCCGAUAUGGAACCCGAGCAGCGGCGAAGGGACUCGCAAGCCUCUUCCCUGACCAUUUUCUCCUGUCUCUGCGCGAGAUUCCCGGGGACGUGUACUGCUGGAUGAAUUACAUCCACCACCAGAAGAAGGUGCAAUCAUGACAUGAGAUGAACUUGAACUGGGACACAUGCUACAAUUGCAGCCUUAUUCUCUCUACAAUGCUUCUGCUACUUAUUACAGGAUGAAGGAAAAGCCUACAUUCAUACUGUAAAAAGUCUAUGCACUGCUGCACAAAAGGCACGAUAAAUUGCCUCGUGUUGCCGAAGCACCCAAGGGGAACAUGGUGAAAAACAAGGAACCUGCACUCGCUUAACUCUAUCAGCCAUUCAGGCAUCCAGCAGUGGAAGAAAUCGAUGCCAGCAGAAGCUGACAGGCUGUGGAGGGGGAACACUCAGACGAGGACCGGCGCUCGAAGCACCUGGCAGGAGAGAUGCGAGACUUGUUCGUGCCACCUCUUCAUCAGCACCUGGCUGACAAACUGUUGUUCUAAUAUUUAUACCUCUGGGGAAGGUACCUGUUUACCCCUCCGUUGACUUCUGCAAAAUGGAGUCAUCACAAGACAACCCAGAUGAAACAGUGUGGUUUAUAGUGUGGUGCAGAAAACAAAUCGUGUCCUGGUCAGAAUUUUGGUUUUCAACUCAACGUAAUUCGGUGAACAUUUAACUUAAGGUCACAACACAAAAGAUUUACAUCCAUUAGAAAGGUGGGGGUUGACCUGGAGGUUGAGAUGCCCACGUGAGACGGGCGAGUGCCUGAGUUCGAUUCCAAGCUCAGGCUCCCGACUCCAGCUUCCUGCUAAUGUAGAACCUUGCAGCAGCAGUGACGACUCGAGCAAUUGCGCUCCUGCCACCCAGGUGGGAGACCUGCAUGGAGUUCCCAGCUCCAGGCUUUGGCCUGGCCCAGUUCUGACCAUACAUUUCAGGGAGGGAGCCAGUGGACUGGGAGCUCUCUCCAACUCUCAAAUAAAUACAUCAAAAUUAAGUGAAAAAGAAGGGUGGGAGGAAGAAAGAAUAUAAACAAAUAUUGGGCUCUCAAAAGAGAAAGACUGGAAAAUCGUGUCUGAUCAGAAGAAAAGCAUCUCUGUUCGGCUGGGGUACUGAGCCCCAGUUUGCCAGAGUGAAGGGAUUUGGUGUAGACCCCUACUGUGCUGAGUCAGGAGUGAAAACCCAGACCAGGGCUAUAAGUGUCCAAUUAGGAGCCCAUCCACACCUGCAUGUAUGAGCAACAGCAUCGAGUGGAGAAGUCACUUUUUCAGAAUAUGAUUUCAGACAAAAGGACAAAUGAUUACACAUCACCUACUGAUUUGCCCAAAGUUUGAGGGUGAAUAGCUUAGUAAGAUAAAAUCAGAAUCUAGAACUUAAAAAUUAAAUGUAGUUCUGAUCUUGAGACCAUGACAAGAUAACUUUUGGAAUGUGUCAUGGGCCCAAUCAUAUUCCUUAAGAUCUUGAUAACGGUAUAGUGAUUAACAUACAUCGUGAAAACAGGUAAUUAUUCAACAUUUGCAAUGUGUGGAGCAUACUCUACAUGCACCAUCUCAUGUAAUUAUUCAGUAAAGCAAAGAGAAACCUCACAACACUUCUUCUUGACUCCCGAAUCUUUCACAAAGAGGACUGUUUUUUUUUUUUUUUAAAUUAAUGUACUUAUUUGAAAGUCAGAGUUACACAAAGAGAGGAAAGGCAGAGAGAGAGGUCUUCCAUCCAAUGGCUCACUCCCACAAUGGCUGGAGCUGCGCCAAUCCGAAGCCAGGAGCCAGUAGCCUCCUCUGGGUCUCCCACGUGGGUGCAAGGGCCCAAGGACUUGGGCCAUCUUCCACUACUUUCCCAGGCCAUAGCAGAGAGCUGGAUCAGAAGUAGAGCAGCCAGGACUAGAACCAGUGCCAAUAUGGGAUGCCGGUGCCUCAGGCUAAGGCGUCAACCCCUGCGCCACAGCGUUGGCCCCAAAGAGGACUGUUUUUAACUACUCAGCCCCUCAUCUUACUCCUUACUCUCCGAGGAUAUGGAGUGGGUUCCUUAAGGAAAAGCGGUGCCCAGGAACUAGGCACACCUGCCCAACCCUUUCUUACCUUGCCUCCCUGUUUGUCCGCACAGGUGAGUGUUCUACUUCCCUGUGCAGGCCCUGGGCUUUGAGUGUUGCCUGAGGCCAGGAAGACAAGUAUGCCCAGUGGAAGGUUUAAUAGACCUAAAGUCAUGUUCUUUGUCCUGUCCUUAGAAUAAAGGUAUUGUUUUGGUCUCCAUCUGGCAGCUGCUUGCUAUCUCCCAGCUGAUUCAGAGCUCUAGUGGGGAAGUAGGGGUUGCUAUUCAUUAUUGUGGCACCAACAUUGGCAUUAUUAUUAAUAUUUUUAUACAUGAUGGAACUACAGAAUUUUUAGAUAGCUUCCUCAAGUUCAUACAAAGCCCACAGCAGCAGAACCAGGUUUGAACUCAAGGCUCUAGCUUCAGAAUCUUUGUAUAUAGUACCAUCUAUACCAUUAUCCUCUGCCUGUGAAGAAUGACGAUGCCUAGGAAAUCAUUUUAGAAUAUCAGUUACAGGGGCCAGCAUCGUGGCACAGCAGGUUAAGCUAUUGCUUGCAACUCUGGCUUUAUGUAUAGGCUGCUCCACUUCCAUACCAGCUCCUUGCUGAUGCACCUGAGAAAGGAGCAGAUGAUGGCCCAAGUGUUUGGGCCUUUGCUUAGAGGCCCAGAUGGAAUUCCAGUCUCCUGGCUUUGGCCAGCCCUAGCCCUGGCUGUUGCAGCCAUUUGGAGGAGUGAACCAGUAGCUGGAAGAUCUCUUUUGCUCUCUUUUUCUCUGUCUCUAUCACUCUGCCUUUCAAAUAAAUAAAUAACUUUAAAAAUAUUGGUUAUAGUGAUAAGAACACUUAUUUUA